ensembl:rRNA 5S_rRNA 5S ribosomal RNA
GCUUACGGCCAUACCACCCUGUCUGCACCCGAUCUCGUCUGAUCUCGGAAGCUAAGCAGGGUCGGGCCUACUUAGUACUUGGAAGGUAGACCGCCUAGGAAUACUAGGUGCUGUAAGCU